UUUUUAUAUGACAAAAUGAACAACCUGCCGUUGCCUGUCGAGAGAAGCGGACCCAUGAAGAAAGAAAGGAAGCGUGAAUAACCUGCAGAGAUGACGCACGUGGAAGUGUCACUGGGGGGCGGAGGUCAAGUGCUCAGUGAUCCAUGUCCAUGGGAGAUGCUGUACGCGGACGACAUGUUGGCCAUCGCUGACUCUCUGGAGGAGCUAAAGGUGUAGGUGCAGAUGUGGAUGUCGGUAAUGGAGAAAAAGGGCCUGCGAGUCAACCUGGAAAAAUAAAGAACAUGGUGUCAGAAGCGAAUAUGGACCUGCUGAAGUCCGGGACGCACCCGUGUGCUGUCUGUUUUACAGGAACAGGCAGCAACGCAAUCCUCUGUGGUUGCUGCUCUCUCUGGGUACACACAAAAAAUGAAGUGGCAUCAAGGCACCACUUCGCCCCGACCCAGACCACAAGUAUGCUC